rnacentral:rRNA from 1 species
UACGGAGACUGCAAGCGUUACUCGGAUUUACUGGGCGUAAAGGGUGCGCAGGCGGCCUGAUAUGUCAGAUGUGAAAGCCCAUGGCUCAACCAUGGAACUGCAUUUGAAACUAUCAGGCUAGAGUAUUGGAGAGGUAAGCGGAAUUCCUAGUGUAGCGGUGAAAUGCGUAGAUAUUAGGAGGAACACCAAAGGCGAAGGCAGCUUACUGGACAAUUACUGACGCUCAGGCACGAAAGCAUGGGGAGCGAAAGGG